GUAAGAGAAGGCUUAAAAAGACGAGUCCUGUAAGGAGCCUGCCCAGCCUGGGCACAGCGCGGACGCUCAACAGAACUCUCUGCCUAGUCGGGUGAUUCACUGAGAUGUGCCCCAACAGAACUGUUAGUAACAAAGCCUUGAGGGGGGGGGGGGGGGGCCUGGAGCUGGAGCCGAAGAGGCCUGUUAACUCCGGACUUGGAUUGUCCGAGGUUUCAGCCUGCCUCCACUUAGACAAGUGUCUUAGCCUCAACGGCCUCCAACUUCACUGGCCUAAUGAGGGUAAUGACUACCAACCUCGGAGAACUGCAGUAAGAAUUACGUGAGCACAUUCUACGGAGAGCACUUAGAACUCCCCUGGCCCGUGGUAAUCCCUCCAUACACACAGCGGCCGCUAUCAUCGGCUGGAGCACCGCAGGCGAGCCUAGUUACAAGGAUGGAGUCUCCACUGAAAAAGACUGGAAGUCCCAUUCUUCUGGAUUAGAGGGGAGGCACGCGUUGCCAGACUCCUGGACAGCUUGUACAGGGGCAUAUCUUGACCAGCAACAAAGUCUUCCCAGGAGAGGAGGAACUAUUGGCCCAGAUCACUUGCAUCUACAACUGGAUUGGUUCAUACACCGAUUUUUCCCUCUCAAAGGGGAACCUGAUUUCCAAGUUCUGAGAUACACACACACACACACACACACACACAUAUACAUUGUAUGUCUGUUCAUAGUCUUUUGUGUGUUUAUUUGGACUUCCUGUAAUAAAUAGGAAAGAGCUCCCCAGGUAUUUUAGGGACUGAUUAUAUUAAAUGCCAUGUUUGAGGGAAAUAUCCUCUAUACUAUUUUUUUUUUAAUAUGGAAUGCUUCGAGUUUGCAUGUCAUCCAUGCGCAGGGACCAUGCUAACCUUCUCUAUAUCGUUCCAAUUUUAGUAUAUGUGCUGCCGAAGCGAGCACUCCCCUCUACUAUUAUUUUUACUUCCUCUGUAGUUUAUCCCAUUUCAUGAAAGUUACUAUAACUUCAUGUAUCAGAUAACACUUUUAAAGAACAAUCUAGUUAAGCACCUAACACUUUUGCAUCCUGGCUCCACCAUUUACUAGUUCUGCAUCCUUGAGCAUGUCACUUAACUCUCUGGGCCUCCUCCUGUCUACAAAAUUAGUGUAAUACAUAAAGCUCAUAACAGAGCUUAAGUUUGUAAAGAUUAAAUCAUAUCUUCUUAAGGGCUUGGCUCAAUGACCAGUACAUAAAAGCACUCAAUAUGUAUUAGGUUUUAUUUUCAGCUCCCAAAGCCUGUCUAAAUUCAAUAUACACUGUUUUAAC